rnacentral:rRNA from 1 species
GGUGGCUUCGGGGCAGUGGGCUGGGUAAAGCGAAGGGGGCAAGGUGUAAUCUGAGUUACUGGGCGUGAAGGGGUCGGAGGUAGUUCGUUAAGUUGGGUGGGAAAGCCCCGGGCUCAACCUGGGAACUGCAUCCAAAACUGGCGAGCUAGAGUACUGUAGAGGGUGGUGGAAUUUCCGGUGUAGCGGUGAAAUGCGUAGAUAUAGGAAUGAACACCAGUUGCGAAGGCGACCACCUGGACUGAUACUUACACUGAGGUGCGAAAGCGUGGGGAGCAAACAGGAUUAGAUACCCGAGUAGUC